rnacentral:rRNA from 1 species
AUUGAACGCUGGCGGCAGGCCUAACACAUGCAAGUCGAGCGGAUGAAGGGAGCUUGCUCCUGGAUUCAGCGGCGGACGGGUGAGUAAUGCCUAGGAAUCUGCCUGGUAGUGGGGGAUAACGUCCGGAAACGGGCGCUAAUACCGCAUACGUCCUGAGGGAGAAAGUGGGGGAUCUUCGGACCUCACGCUAUCAGAUGAGCCUAGGUCGGAUUAGCUAGUUGGUGGGUAAAGGCCUACCAAGGCGACGAUCCGUAACUGGUCUGAGAGGAUGAUCAGUCACACUGGAACUGAGACACGGCCCAGACUCCUACGGGAGGCAGCAGUGGGGAAUAUUGGACAAUGGGCGAAAGCCUGAUCCAGCCAUGCCGCGUGUGUGAAGAAGGUCUUCGGAUUGUAAAGCACUUUAAGUUGGGAGGAAGGGCAGUAAGUUAAUACCUUGCUGUUUUGACGUUACCAACAGAAUAAGCACCGGCUAACUUCGUG